GAUGAACGCUGGCGGCGUGCCUAACACAUGCAAGUCGAGCGAACAGACGCGAAGCUUGCUGCUCUGACGAUAGCCGAAGGCGUGAGAAUCACACGUGGAUACCCCCCCUGUCAGACUGGGAAAACCUCGAGACAGCGGCGCAUAUUCCGGAUAAUAUAGUGAAGCGUAUGCUUCUAUUGUAAAGGACGGCUUUGUGGUCGGUUGUCGCUGGCUCUGCGCCGCAUUAGCUAGUUGGUAAGGUAACGGCUUACGAAGGCGACGACGGGUAGCCGGCCGGAGAGGGGGACCGGCCACACUGGGACUGAGACACGGCCCAGACUCGUACGGGAGGCAGCAGUGGGGAACAUUGCACAAUGGGCGCACGUCUGAUGCAGAGGCGCCGCGUGCGUGAUGAUGGCCUUUGGGUUGUAAACCUCUUUCAGCGGGGAAGAAGCGAACGUGACGGUACCUGCAGAAGAAGCCCCGGCUAACUACGUG
rnacentral:rRNA from 1 species